rnacentral:rRNA from 1 species
CCUACGGGUGGCAGCAGUGGGGAAUAUUGGACAAUGGGCGAAAGCCUGAUCCAGCCAUGCCGCGUGUGUGAAGAAGGCCUUCGGGUUGUAAAGCACUUUCAGUGGGGAAGAAAGCCUUGGGGCUAAUACCCUCGAGGAAGGACAUCACCAACAGAAGAAGCACCGGCUAACUCCGUUCCAGCAGCCGCGGUAAUACGGAGGGUGCGAGCGUUAAUCGGAAUUACUGGGCGUAAAGCGCGCGUAGGCGGUCUGAUAAGCCGGUUGUGAAAGCCCCGGGCUCAACCUGGGAACGGCAUCCGGAACUGUCAGGCUAGAGUGCAGGAGAGGAAGGUAGAAUUCCAGGUGUAGCGGUGAAAUGCGUAGAGAUCGGGAGGAAUACCAGUGGCGAAGGCGGCCUUCUGGACUGACACUGACGCUGAGGUGCGAAAGCGUGGGUAGCAAACAGGAUUAGAUACCCUAGUAGUC